UGGGGGAUGGUCUGACUGCAGUCGAGCGAAGGAUUAAGAGCUUGCUCUUAUGAAUGGCGGCGGACGGGUGAGUAACACGUGGGUGACCUGCCCCUAAGACUGGGAUAACUCCAGGAAACCGGGGCUAAUACCGGAUAACAUUUUGCACCGCAGGUGCGAAAUUGAAAGGCGGCUUCGGCUGUCACUUAUGGAUGGACCCGCGUCGCAUUAGCUAGUUGGUGAGGUAACGGCUCACCAAGGCAACGAUGCGUAGCCAACCUGAGAGGGUGAUCGGCCACACUGGGACUGAGACACGGCCCAGACUCCUACGGGAGGCAGCAUUAGGGAAUCUUCCGCAAUGGACGAAAGUCUGACGGAGCAACGCCGCGUGAGUGAUGAAGGCUUUCGGGUCGUAAAACUCUGUUGUUAGGGAAGAACAAGUGCUAGUUGAAUAAGCUGGCACCUUGACGGUACCUAACCAGAAAGCCACGGCUAACUACGUGCCAGCAGCCGCGGUAAUACAUACGUGGCAAGCGUUAUCCGGAAUUAUUGGGCGUAAAGCGCGCGCAGGUGGUUUCUUAAGUCUGAUGUGAAAGCCCACGGCUCACCCGUGGUAGGGUCAUUGGUAACUGGGAGACUUGAGUGCAGAAGAGGAUAGUGGAUUCCAUGUGUAGCGUAAAAAGCCCCAAAAAAA
rnacentral:rRNA from 1 species